rfam:Peptoniphilus lacrimalis DNF00528 contig081, whole genome shotgun sequence.
AGUGUAGUCUCCUAAAUACACAAAGCCCUUGUUAUAGGGCUUUUU